GACGAACGCUGGCGGCGCGCCUAACACAUGCAAGUCGAACGGCACCCCUCUCCGGAGGGAAGCGAGUGGCGAACGGCUGAGUAACACGUGGAGAACCUGCCCCCUCCCCCGGGAUAGCCGCCCGAAAGGACGGGUAAUACCGGAUACCCCGGGGUGCCGCAUGGCACCCCGGCUAAACCCCGACGGGAGGGGAUGGCUCCGCGGCCCAUCAGGUAGACGGCGGGGUGACGGCCCACCGUGCCGACAACGGGUAGCCGGGUUGAGAGACCGACCGGCCAGAUUGGGACUGAGACACGGCCCAGACUCCUACGGGAGGCAGCAGUGGGGAAUCUUGCGCAAUGGGGGGAACCCUGACGCAGCGACGCCGCGUGCGGGACGGAGGCCUUCGGGUCGUAAACCGCUUUCAGCAGGGAAGAGUCAAGACUGUAC
rnacentral:rRNA from 1 species